rnacentral:tRNA from 1 species
GCGCCCAUAGCUCAGCUGGAUAGAGCACCGGUCUUCGGAACCGGUUGUCGGGGGUUCGAAUCCCUCUGGGCGCACCA